UACUCAUGUCUGAAUAUGGCUAAAGGAGUGACUUGGCUUUUCUAGGCUCCAGUUCUUUAAAUACUAAAUAAGAGCAACAUAGUGGACAACUAGAUAUCCAACCACGUAACUUGGUGACUUGGAAGUUCUUGUGUCUAUGCUUCAUGGAUGGGAAUAGGAGCAAGAAGUUGUUCUUAGUGAUCUCCUUGAUCUACCAAGAAGAGGCCUAAUCUCUGACCUGGAAGAACAACCUCUGAUAAGUGGCUUUGUUCAACUGUUUGGAGUGUGACUCUUAUGUGCUAAGAGCCCUAUGACAGACACAGCAGGAAGGCCUGGGAUGAGUGGAGUGAUCAAACACCAAGGCAGGAAAGAGGCCACAAUGGAAAGACCCACUCUCUACAUGAGGGUCCAUCCAGGAGGAGAAGCCCAAACUCCAGAGUCUGCUGAGCAUUCUGCACAAGAGGCAGUUCAAGGAGACAAGAAAGAAGAAAUGGAUCUUUAAAAGUACCAUAGCCAGGGUUUCAUGAAGUAGGAAGAUUAUUUUGAAUAUCAAGAACAAUCACAGGAAAAAUAAUCAAUUGAGGGACAAGGGAUCUUCAUGAAAGAGGGGACUCCUGCACGUCUCAGUGUUCAAAGCUAGCAUCAUGGCAGAGGAACAUCGGCUUCUUCAUGGUGCUUCCA
ensembl:lincRNA